rnacentral:rRNA from 1 species
CCUACGGGUGGCAGCAGUGGGGAAUAUUGGGCAAUGGACGAAAGUCUGACGCAGCGACGCCGCGUGAAGGAUGAAGGUCUUCGGAUUGUAAACCUCUUUUCUCAGGGAAGAACAGUGUUACUGUACCUUAGCAGUGAGUCUCCGCUAACUACAUGCCAGCAGCCGCGGUAAUACGUAGGAGGCGAGCGUUAUCCGGAAUGACUGGGCGUAAAGGGUGCGUAGGUGGGUUGUCAAGUCAGUGGCGAAACUCCGAGGCUCAACCUGGGAACUACUAUUGAAACUGGCAGACUUGAGUGCAGGAGAGGCAAGUGGAAUUCCUAGUGUAGGGGUGGAAUGCGUAGAUAUCAGGAGGAACACCAGUGGCGAAGGCGAUUAGCUGGAAUGUAACUGACACUGAGGCACGAAAGCGUGGGGAGCAAACAGGAUUAGAUACCCUAGUAGUC